rnacentral:rRNA from 1 species
CGCGCAGGCGGUUUCGUUAGUCGGACGUGAAAGCUCCUGGCUUAACUAGGAGAGGUCGUUCGAUACUGCGGAGCUUGAGGUUGGGAGAGGGGUGUGGAAUUCCCGGUGUAGUGGUGGAAUGCGUAGAUAUCGGGAGGAACACCAGUGGCGAAGGCGGCACCCUGGCCCACACCUGACGCUGAGGCGCGAAAGCGUGGGGAGCGAACA